rnacentral:pre_miRNA from 1 species
AAAAAGACAAACUCUGGAUUUCCGUGUCCAAUGUUUGACUGUCCGUCUUAUAUGAAAUUUUUUAUAAUUAGUAUUUUUAUUAUUGUUAGAUGAUAAAACAUGAUUAAUACUUUAUACGUGACUUGUCUUUUUAAUUUUUUUCAUUUUUUUUCAAAUAAGAUGGACGGUCAAAUGUUGAACACGGAAAUUCAGGGUUUGUCUUUUU